rnacentral:rRNA from 1 species
GUUAGGAAUAUUGGACAAUGGGCGCAAGCCUGAUCCAGCCAUGCCGCGUGAGUGAUGAAGGCCUUCGGGUUGUAAAGCUCUUUAGUCCACGAAUAUAAUGACUGUAGUGGAAGAAUAAGCCCCGGCUAACUUCGUGCCAGCAGCCGCGGUAAUACGAAGGGGGCGAGCGUUAUUCGGAAUCACUGGGCGUAAAGCGUGCGUAGGCUGUUUUGUAAGUCAGAAGUGAAAGCCCAGGGCUUAACCCUGGAAUUGCUUUUGAAACUACAAGACUCGAAUUCGGGAGAGGAUAGCGGAAUUGUCAGUGUAGCAGUGAAAUGCGUAGAUAUUGACAGGAACGCCAGUGGCGCAAGCGGCUAUCUGGACCGAUAUUGACGCUGAGGCACGAAAGCGUGGGGAGCAAACAGGAUUAGAAACCCGGGUAGUCC